UACAGGGGGUGCAAACGUUGCUCGGAAUCAUUGGGCGUAAAGCGCACGUAGGCGGUUCGUUAUGUCGGAUGUGAAAGCCCUUGGCUUAACCGAGGAAGUGCAUCCGAAACUGGCGAGCUAGAGUACGAAAGAGGAUCGCGGAAUUCCUGGUGUAGCGGUGAAAUGCGCAGAUAUCAGGAAGAACACCCGUGGCUAAGGCGGCUCUCUAGUACGGUACUGACGCUGAGACGCGAAAGCGUGGGGGAGCGAACAGG
rnacentral:rRNA from 1 species